UCUCCGUUGGUGAACCAGCGGAGGGAUCAUUACAGGACUCGCAAGACUCCUACAACCCUGUGAACUUAACUGUAAGCACGUUGCUUCGGCGGGUGUCUCGGAGGGGGUUCUCCCUCCCCGAGACGCUAAACCCGCCGGCAGCCUACUAUACUCUGUCUCUUUGCGUUGGCAUCUCGAGUACAAUCAAACAAGUUAAAACUUUCAACAACGGAUCUCUUGGUUCUG
rnacentral:misc_RNA from 1 species